CCGGCACGGGUGAGUAACACGUAUCCAACCUGCCGUCUACUCUUGGCCAGCCUCUGAAGGAAGAUUAAUCCAGGAUGGCAUCAUGAGUUCACAUGUCCGCAUGAUUAAAGGUAUUUUCCGGUAGACGAUGGGGAUGCGUUCCAUUAGAUAGUAGGCGGGGUAACGGCCCACCUAGUCAACGAUGGAUAGGGGUUCUGAGAGGAAGGUCCCCCACAUUGGAACUGAGACACGGUCCAA
rnacentral:rRNA from 1 species